rnacentral:rRNA from 1 species
CCAGACUCCUACGGGAGGCAGCAGUGGGGAAUAUUGCACAAUGGGGGAAACCCUGAUGCAGCAACGCCGCGUGAGUGAAGAAGUAUUUCGGUAUGUAAAGCUCUAUCAGCAGGGAAGAAAAUGACAGUACCUGACUAAGAAGCCCCGGCUAACUACGUGCCAGCAGCCGCGGUAAUACGUAGGGGGCAAGCGUUAUCCGGAUUUACUGGGUGUAAAGGGAGCGUAGACGGCUGCGCAAGUCAGAAGUGAAAGCCCGGGGCUCAACCGCGGGACUGCUUUUGAAACUGUGUAGCUAGAGUGCAGGAGAGGUAAGUGGAAUUCCUAGUGUAGCGGUGAAAUGCGUAGAUAUUAGGAGGAACACCAGUGGCGAAGGCGGCCUGCUGGACGACAACUGACGGUGAGGCGCGAAAGCGUGGGGAGCAAACAGGAUUAGAUACCCCUGUAAG